GACGAACGCUGGCGGCGUGCUUAACACAUGCAAGUCGAACGGAAAGGCCCUGCUUUUGUGGGGUGCUCGAGUGGCGAACGGGUGAGUAACACGUUAGUAACCUGCCCUUUACUUUGGGAUAACUUCAGGAAACUGGGGCUAAUACCGGAUAGGAGCUCCUGCUGCAUGGUGGGGGUUGGAAAGUUUCGGCGGUUGGGGAUGGACUCGCGGCUUAUCAGCUUGUUGGUGGGUUAUUGGCUUACCAAGGCUUUGACGGGUAGCCGGCCUGAGAGGGUGACCGGCCAAAUUGGGACUGAGAAACGGACCAGAAUCCUACGGGAGGCAGCAGGGGGGAAUAUUGCAAAAUGGGCGGAAGCCUGAUGCAGCAACGUCGAGUGGGAGAUGACGGACUUAGGGUUGUAAACAGCUUUCGAAUGUGACGAAGCGUGAGUGACGGUAAUGGGUAAAGAAGCACAGGAUAACUACGUG
rnacentral:rRNA from 1 species